rnacentral:tRNA from 1 species
GUUGGAUUAAAAUUUAUUUCUGGUGCAGAAGCUGGAAUAUUGGGUCUGUUCGACC